rnacentral:siRNA from 1 species
UAUGAGAAAUAGGUGUUUUUGCCU